ACAGCUGCGGUUCAUCAACCAUCCCGCAUUAAAAAAACUAGGAGAAA
rnacentral:ncRNA from 1 species